GUGAGGAAUUUUCCGCAAUGGGCGAAAGCCUGACGGAGCAAUGCCGCGUGAAGGAUGAAGGCCUAUGGGUUGUAAACUUCUUUUCUCAGAAAAGAAUUAUGACGGUAUCUGAGGAAUAAGCAUCGGCUAACUCUGUGCCAGCAGCCGCGGUAAGACAGAGGAUGCAAGCGUUAUCUGGAAUGAUUGGGCGUAAAGCGUCUGUAGGUUGUUUAAAAAGUAUUCUGUCAAAGAUUAGGGCUUAACCCUAGAUAGGCAGAAUAAACUUUUAAGCUAGAGUUUGGUAGAGGCAGAGGGAAUUCCCGGUGGAGCGGUGAAAUGCGUAGAUAUCGGGAGGAACACCAAAGGCGAAGGCACUCUGCUGGGCCAAUACUAACACUGAGAGACGAAAGCGAGGGGAGCAAAUGGGAUUAGAAACCCCUGUAGUCC
rnacentral:rRNA from 1 species